AAAUUGAAGAGUUUGAUCAUGGCUCAGAUUGAACGCUGGCGGCAGGCCUAACACAUGCAAGUCGAACGGUAACAGGAAGCGCUUGCUGCUUCGCUGACGAGUGGCGGACGGGUGAGUAAUGUCUGGGAAACUGCCUGAUGGAGGGGGAUAACUACUGGAAACGGUAGCUAAUACCGCAUAACGUCGCAAGACC
rnacentral:rRNA from 1 species